rnacentral:rRNA from 1 species
GGCCGCUAAUACCCAAAAGGGUCAUGGGUCAUAUCGUGAUCAGAGUUACGGCGUUUCGGGAGGGGCCUGCGGCCCAUCAGCUAGUUGGCAGGGUAACGGCCUACCAAGGCGACGACGGGUAGGGGGCCUGAGAGGGUGAUCCCCCACAUUGGCACUGACACACGGGCCAAACUCCUACGGGAGGCAGCAGUGAGGAAUAUUGCACAAUGAGCGAAAGCUAGAUGCAGCAACGCCGCGUGGACGACGAAGGCCUUUGGGUCGUAAAGUCCUUUUCAGGGGGACGAGUGAGGACGGUACUCCUGGAAUAAGUCACGGCUAACUACGUGCCAGCAGCCGCGGUAAAACGUAGGUGGCGAGCGUUAUCCGGAUUCACUGGGCGUAAAGCGCCUGCAGGCGGUCUCGUAAGUGGGAUGUGAAAUCUCUUGGCUCAACUGGGAGGGGCCAUUCCAUACUGCGGGACUGGAGGGCAGAAGAGGGAAGCGGAAUUCCCGGUGUAGUGGUGAAAUGCGUAGAUAUCGGGAGGAACACCAGUGGCGAAGGCGGCUUCCUGGCCUGCUCCUGACGCUAAGAGGCGAAAGCUAGGGGAGCGAACGGGAUUAGAAACCCCGGUAGUCCUAGCCGUAAGCGAUGGAUACUGGGUGUCGGCGGUCCUAACCCCGUCGGUGCCGAAGCCAACGCGUUAAGUAUCCCGCCUGGGGACUACGGCCGCAAGGUUAAAACUCAAAGGAAUUGACGGGACCCCGCACAAGCAGCGGAGCGUGUGGUUUAAUUCGAUUCUACACGAAGAACCUUACCCAGGUUUGACAUGCAAGUAGUAGUGAAGCGAAAGCGGACGACCCGCAAGGGAGCUUGCACAGGUGCUGCAUGGCUGUCGUCAGCUCGUGCCGUGAGGUGUUGGGUUAAGUCCCCUAACGAGCGCAACCCUCGUCGUCAGUUACAUGUGUCUGACGAGACUGCCGGUCUAAAGCCGGAGGAAGGUGGGGAUGAUGUCUAGUCAGCAUGGCCUUUAUAUCUGGGGCUAUACACACGCUACAAUGGCCAGUACAAUGGGUCGCCAACCCGCGAGGGGGAGCCAAUCCUAAAAAGCUGGUCUCAGUUCGGAUUGCAGGCUGCAACCCGCCUGCAUGAAGUCGGAGUUGCUAGUAAACGCAGGUCAGCCAUACUGCGUUGAAUACGUUCCCGGGGUUUGUACACACCGCCCGUCACGUCAUGGGAGCUGGUAACACCUGAAGCCGGUGCGCUAACCGCAAGGGGGCAGCCGUCGAGGGUGGGACUGGUGACUGGGACGAAGUCGCAACAAGGCA